UAGUGAAAACUCAAGAGAGUGCAGCAUUACUGAUAACUUCAUUAGAAAUGUAUCUCUUAUUUGCUUUGUUUACGGUGUCUUUUGCCAGAUACGUCGACCUUCCAUCCAAGACUUUACAAAAUCCUCAUCUUUUCCAAGGAGACAUUAUCGGAAUUCGGAACAGAAAUGUAAGUUUGUUUAUUUUCAACGCUUAGUUAAUUAAAUUAAUUUAUAUUUAAAUUUAGGUGAGAAAUGCUGUAAGGGAUCUUUCACUUCGCUGGAAAGGAGGAAUAGUGUAUUAUACUAUCCACCCAUCUUUAGAAAAUAUAACUGAUUUAAUCACAGAAGCAAUGAAUCACAUAAAUAAUGCAACAGGAGGAUGCAUCACUUUCAAACAAAGACAAUAUGAACCAGAUUAUAUCUUAUUCAUU